AUCAUUUUAAAAUAGAGUUUAAACAAAAAUAAUUAUAACAAACACAAAUCAUGAAACAUGAAUUAAAAAAAAAUAAUAAAAAACAAAAACAACAACAAAAUAACUUUGUGCAUACAUACUUAUAUAUUGCACACGCAAGUACAUGAUGAAUUUAUAUAGAGAGAACAUAAUAAAUAUAGCAAAUGGCAGUUAACAAUUGAAUUAUUUAUUUACCAACAUCAAAAUGGAAAAUCCCAGUCUGUGUUAUCGUAGAAGCCUAAAUGAAAUUUUGUUUUUAAUUGGGAGAAGCUUGCAAAGGUCAAUUGGCAAUGAACGUUUACAAGAUAAUAACCACAAAUAUGUUUACUAAAUCUGAAAACUUUGAAAGGAUUCUGGUUUUCCAAAUAGAGCGGAAACAGGGAAAGAAAAAUCUGUAAUAAAAAUAUUAUAUGGAUGUUGAAAUAGUCCUGUUGAAAUUUAAUUACAAAAGAAUUCUUUACGUCAUUGUGAAUAAAUAUCCUUGAGUUAGACUUUACAAACUCUGCUUCUCUUCUAACCAAUAUUCUAUGAUUGACAUCAUCCGAGUUUGAGUGAAUAUAUGGUUGAGAAAGAAAAACUGCAUUUGCUGAACUUCACGUUGGCUAAUCAUUCAAGUGUCAUAGUAUUUUAUGUUUGAGAGAGCUGUGAGUAAUAGUUAUUUUGGAUUUUAGUUAUUCACACAUCUGACAUCAUCACUGCACUAUGGGAAAAUAAUCAGACAAACAAUGAAAAACUAUUUCUUUGGAUUUGAUGCACUUACUACAUAAUGGAGAUUAUUUUGCCGUUUAUGAGUUAUUAUACCCUAUACCACUAUAGUGGGGAUGUUUGUCCGCCUGACUACAUAAUGAAGAUUAUUUUGCGUAUGGGUACUCAUUUAUGUUUAUGAGUUAUUAUUCCCUACACCACUAUGUAUUAUGCGUUUGUGCUGAUGUUUGUCCGCCUGACUGUGUGUCCAUGUAAACCUUGUGCACACGCUACAGGGAGCAACUUUCAAGAUGAUUUGAUCAAAUUUGGCACAUAUGUUAAACAUAAUCAAAAUAUGAAAUGAUUUUAUGGUCAGAAAAAGACUUCAACAAAGUUUUAUAAAAAGAAGAAAGAUAUAUCGUUCAAAUGGAAUGGUGAUAAACUGUAUUAAACGAUGUUAGAUGUAAAUCUUACCAAAUUCAUUAAGGAUCUUAAAUUUUGUAAACAUUUGAA